CAAUAAGCGGAGGAAAAGAAACCAACAGGGAUUGCCCUAGUAACGGCGAGUGAAGCGGCAACAGCUCAGAUUUGAAAUCUGGCGUCUUUGGCGUCCGAGUUGUAAUCUGUAGAGGAUGCUUUUGGGUAGCCACCGGUCUAAGUCCCCUGGAACGGGGCGUCACAGAGGGUGAGAAUCCCGUAUGUGACCGGAAGGGCGCCCUCUACAUAGCUCCUUCGACGAGUCGAGUUGUUUGGGAAUGCAGCUCUAAAUGGGAGGUAAAUUCCUUCUAAAGCUAAAUACCGGCCAGAGACCGAUAGCGCACAAGUAGAGUGAUCGAAAGAUGAAAAGCACUUUGGAAAGAGAGUUAAAAAGCACGUGAAAUUGUUGAAAGGGAAGCGCUUGCAACCAGACUUGUUGGCGGUGUUCCGCCGGUCUUCUGACCGGUUUACUCACCGUCUGCAGGCCAGCAUCAUCUGGGGCCGCUGGAUAAAAGCGAGGGGAAUGUGGCUCCCCCGGGAGUGUUAUAGCCCCUCGUGCAAUACAGCGAGCCUCGGGUGAGGUCCGCGCUUCGGCUAGGAUGCUGGCGUAAUGGUCGUAAGCGGCCCGUCUUGAAACACGGACCAAGGAGUCUAACAUCUAUGCGAGUGUUCGGGUGUCAAACCCCUACGCGUAAUGAAAGUGAACGGAGGUGGGAGCCUUAGGGUGCACCAUCGACCGAUCCUGAUGUCUUCGGAUGGAUUUGAGUAAGAGCAUAGCUGUUGGGACCCGAAAGAUGGUGAACUAUGCCUGGAUAGGGUGAAGCCAGAGGAAACUCUGGUGGAGGCUCGCAGCGGUUCUGACGUGCAAAUCGAUCGUCAAAUUUGGGUAUAGGGGCGAAAGACUAAUCGAACCAUCUAGUAGCUGGUUCCUGCC
rnacentral:rRNA from 1 species